GCGUUCGUGGCGGAACUGGUAGACGCGCCGGUCUCAGAAGCCGGUGGGUAACACCCAUGGGAGUUCGAGUCUCCCCGAGCGCA
rnacentral:tRNA from 2 species